GCCUACGUUACAAAUCACCUGGAAUGCACCCGAUCUCACCAGACCUCACAAGCUAAGCAGGAUGGGCAUGGAGAGUGCUUGGAUGGGCGACCACCACCGUGUACAACCGGUGCUAUAGGCU
rnacentral:rRNA from 1 species